AUUGAACGCUGGCGGAAUGCUUUACACAUGCAAGUCGAGCGGCAGCGCGGCCUUCGGGCUGGCGGCGAGCGGCGGACGGGCGAGUAAUGCAUCGGAACAUGCCCAGUCGCGGGGGAUAACACUUCGAAAGAAGUGCUAAUACCGCAUACGUCCUGAGGGGGAACGCGGGGGAUCGCAAGACCUCGCGCGCUUGGAGUGGCCGAUGUCAGAUUAGCUAGUUGGUGGGGUAACGGCCUACCAAGGCGACGAUCCGUCGCUGGUCUGCGGGGAUGAUCGGCCACACGGAAACGGAGACAGGGCCCAGACUCUUAGGGAGGGCGGCAGUGGGAAAAUUGGGACAAGGGGGGCAACCCGGACCCGGCCAACCCGGGGGGGUGAAGAGGGCCUUCGGGUUGUAAAGCUCUUUGUGCAGGAACAAAACGAGGGGCUCUAACACAGGCCGCUAAGGCCGGUCCCAGAGGAAGAGGCACCGCCUAACUACGU
rnacentral:rRNA from 1 species